UUUUGUGUAGUCGGUUGAGAUACGAAAUUGCCAAAGUUUUAGCCUUUAUAGCAUCUUCUUUUCCUUUAAUCUUUGUUUCUGAUCAGUGAGCUGAGAGCUGCCUAAUUGGAUGGCAAUAAAUCAGCGCAGGAACUGACUUAUCUCGACUCAUUUUUCUAGCUCUGAUAUAUAGCAAACAUGGGAGCAGGUUGCAUUUGGGGGUCAACUAGUAUGAGAACCACACUUUAAUCAUUUGGAUCCAGUCUUAGUUUUUAAAGAGCAAAUUACAGAAGCGUUGCUUUCUGAGUCCAUCAUAAUGGUCAUGGGCAGCUUUGACCUUUGGAUCCCUGUCUGUCUGGGGCACCUUACUUUGCCAGCUAGUUUUCUUCCUUUCGAAUUUCACCAUUCGUAGUGUUUUCCUUCAGCUGUUCUUUGGAUCACAGUUCUUAUUGUUAAGUUCGCUGUUAGCUCUCAGAUCCCUUGCUCUGGUUUUUCUUACUGCAGGCAGUUUGUUUUCUUUCCUGUCUUUUGUUGCCCCUCCACAUGCAAUACUGGUUUGGGAAGCGCCUUGCUGUUCACUAUAUAUGUGUUGUGAAUCAUGAGGUUUCUCUCAUACUGUUCUGGGAGCUAUUGUAAUUGGAUUGAUUUGGAAAAGGGGAAAGAAAGAAGGAAAAAUGUCAUGUUAGAUUCUUGCACAUGUAGUAGUUCUCAAUUUUGAUAAACAGAAGCAUUUUAAACCUACCAGGUUAAUAUCUGGUACCUAUGCAUGGUGUUGGUGUUUUCUAACAGAAGGCAUGACAAAAGUCUGUAGAGCAUGAUUUACAAAGAUUAUUUAAAUUCUAUUUGCCAACAUGUAGUAUAACACCCAGGGUAGAGCAUGAUUUUGAAAGCGUAACAAACAAAUAAGUAGCAUCUUUACCCAUAAAUAUUCUUGUGGUUUUCAAAUAUUUUACUUUUGGCCGAAAUUGUCAGAAUCCACAUUGCUUGAAAGAAAGGGAUAGAUAGCUCUGUUUUAAUGGUAAGCUCUCCGGAGAGUACUCUAUGUGCCAUUGUAUGAUGAAAUCUAGAUUUGUCUUUUGUAAGUUAUUCCUAGGAGAGCAAACUUUUUUAUUACUUGGUCAGAUUCCAACCAAAGGUAUGUAGUAUUUGAUGAAUAACUAAUGCAGAUAAUUAACAGAUUAAGAGAAUGUGUGAGCCCAAGCAUGAACAGAGAAGUUGGGAAGGAGGUUAUCAGUGUAAAAAACGUUAGAAAUGAACAGGGCAACUGGAGCAUGAAUGAAAUCAAUUUAAUUUGUGGGAACUUAUAUUUCCUUAGAAUUAUAUUCUUAUUCCUUACUCUAUAUGGCUUAGGCUGUGUCCACAGUCAGUAAAGAAUAUCUGUGCUUCAGGUGUCUGCCACGUGGGCUAGUUUAAGUUUCUCUGUAGAGACCCAUUGCUGUAUCGGAUGAAUGUCUCAGUCUGUUGUUCCCUCCACAAGGAGUAUUAUCUCUAAUAUUCAGGGCCUUAAAAUGCCAGGAACAGUGAUGGGCACUGAGGGGGGCACUCGAUGGGAUGAGCACUGGGUGUUAUGCUAUAUGUUGGCAA
rnacentral:lncRNA from 1 species